rnacentral:lncRNA from 10 species
CAGCUAGAAGGCCUUAUUUAUAAAUCAGAAAUUGGGUUCUCACCAGAUACUGAAUCUGCCAGCUCCUUGAUCUUGGACUUCCCAGCUUCCAGAACUAUGAGAUAACAGACUAAGGUGAGAACACAGUGUUUCUCCCCUUCAGGGGAUGCAGCAAUAAGGCGCCAUCUUGGAAGGAGACAGCAGCCCUCACCAGACACCAAUCCUGCUGGUGCCUGAAUCUUAGACUUAUCAGCUUCGAGAAUUGUGAGAAAUAAAUUUCUGUUGUUUAUAAAUUAUUCAGUGUAGCAGCACAAAUGGACUAAGACAGCCCAGAAAUUGCUGCAUGAUGCUGUAACGUCAAGUUUGCUAAGUGAUGAAUCCCUUUAGGCUUCCUUGCCUUGGGAAUUUUUGCAGGAAGGACAGAAAGAAGAAGCCAUCUGAUCAACAGCUCUUCUUGCCUCCUGUGAAAGCCCUCAUUGCACUGAAGAGAAUUUCCCAGGUGUCCCAGAGUGGGAGGAUGGCACUCCCAGUGCAAAGGGCAGAAUGGAUGACACAGCCACCAAUAUUGAGAAAC